CAGAAGUGAAGGGCUAGAGCCUCUCUCUCUAUCUCUCGCUGGCCAGUGGCAAUCCUUCGUUGACGUACAAAUCUUUGUUCAACGAAGCAUAAUAUACUGAUCACCAGUUGUAGAUCUAUUCAUUACAAGCCCUGAUUUCACAAAUUUAAGGUUAGAUCUCUUUCUAUUUUGCACUUCUCAGUUUGUUCACUUUAAUCUUUCUAGGGUUUUAACGGGAUUGUUUACGCAGUCUCUAAUCCUUCUUUUCCUUCCUGGGUUUGUUUCGAUGCAGAUCUACUUAAUAUAGAAAACGACGCCGUCUUGGAAAUCAAAUUCACAACAAGACCCGUUUCAGGUUUUGAGUGAUUAUGCUUAUUUUGCUUCAGAUCUGGGGUUUAUAGUAUUAGUUGCUCCAUUGCUUUUUGAAUCCGUGUGUUGGAAAUGUCAAUUGUACCUAAAGGCGACUCCAUUCAAAUCCGAGAGGUGUGGAAUGAUAAUCUUGAGGAGGAAUUCGCUUUGAUUCGCGAAAUUGUCGAUCGAUUCAAUUAUGUAGCUAUGGAUACUGAAUUCCCAGGCGUGGUUUUACGUCCUGUGGGGAAUUUUAAGAACAUCAACGAUUAUAACUAUCAAACUUUGAAAGAUAACGUUGAUAUGUUGAAAUUGAUCCAAUUGGGUCUUACGUUCUCUGACGAGAACGGGAAUUUGCCCACUUGUGGGACCGACAACUUCUGCAUUUGGCAGUUUAAUUUCCGUGAGUUCAAUAUCAGUGAGGACAUCUUUGCUAGUGAUUCUAUUGAGCUGUUGCGCCAAUGCGGAAUUGAUUUUAAGAAGAAUAAUGAGAAGGGUAUUGAUGUAAACCGGUUUGGUGAGCUUCUGAUGUCGUCAGGAAUUGUUUUGAAUGACGGCGUGCAUUGGGUUACAUUUCAUAGCGGGUAUGAUUUUGGGUACUUGCUUAAGCUUUUGACUUGCAGGAGUUUGCCUGAUACACAAGCUGGAUUCUUCGACUUGAUCAAUGUGUACUUUCCCAUUGUGUAUGAUAUCAAGCAUUUAAUGAAGUUUUGCAAUAGCCUUCAUGGUGGAUUGAACAAGCUUGCAGAGUUGUUGGAGGUGGAAAGAGUUGGUGUCUGCCAUCAAGCAGGCUCUGAUAGCUUGCUCACGUCUUGCACAUUUAGGAAAUUGAGAGACAACUUUUUCAGCGGCUCCACAGAGAAGUACGCAGGUGUUUUGUACGGUCUUGGUGUCGAGAAUGGACAAAAUACUAAUUGAAAAGAAAUAAUUGGGAAAAUGAUUGAUGAAUAUUUGUAGACUACCUGAGUGUGAGACUUUUAAUUCUCUUGUAUACUUUGCCAAAAAGAUUGUUGUUCUAGUAGUGACUUUCAUUUGCUUAUUUGUGACUGAAACCUUGACUGGUUUUGUAGCUUGUCAUCCUUGUACAUUAUUGAAGUUAGUUUUUCAAUAAUAAUUUUAGUUCUUGGCAAUUUAUUCUGUGGAUGUUCUUUGUAAUUGUCUGGAUGUUUAUCUCUUAGCUUGCCUCCCUGUGAGGAUAAUUACUUAUCAAACCUAAUACAUGGAUCUCCCUCUUCCUCUCUCUCAUGUUCAGUAUUUAUCUACUCUGAAAAUCUAAGUCCAGUUAUUUGAUGUUAGUUAAACACUUAGUGGCUUAAAGCCUUAUUUAUAUUGCCUUUUGUGUUUAACACUUAAUGUCUUAAAGCCUUAUUAUAUUGGCUUUUGUGUUUCCUCAUACGUGGAACUAUUUGAUUGUGUCAAAGGAAGGAUGCAGUUUGUAAAACUUUCUUAUAUGAUCAGGCUGACUUGCCUUCUUGCACAUACAACUCAUUAAUCUUUGCAGAUAACAGAAUUGAAGUGCUAUAGUGCUACAUGAGUUAUGAUAUAUAUCUUCCAAUGUUCAAUUUGGUUUUGUCAUUUUUUCAGCGGCAUGGCUUCAGGAGAAUGUGAAAUGGAAUGAGAGAAAGCAAAGUGAAUGGGUUCGGUCCUGGAUACAUGCAAAUUUAGAAGAGGUAUGUACAAUAUGACGAUUUCCUGUUGACUUGUAAAAUCUAAUUAAUUGUUUGAGGCGAGUCUAGUGCAAGGAUAAAGGUAUAAAAGCAAGACUUAAAUUUUUGUAAAACUAAUUUAUAGUAAGAAUCGAUCAUGAUUUUUUUAGAUGAUCAGAGUUACUUUCUACUUAUAUUCCAAUUUCCAAAGCCUUGCAAGUAAGUGUUGAUAUUAUGAAAAUGUUGUCUUGACUGUGUAUUCCAAUAGCUUAUGAUGUUUCAUCUAUUUUGUAACUUUUUUUUCCCUUGCCUUUUGUUUGAUCAUUGUAGCAUAGGACCCAUCAAGAGACCCACAAUCUAAAAUGACAACUUUUCUGUCCUUGGUUUUUAUACAUUCUUGUAUUCAUAUUUUGUCCGUAAGUGCAUGUAGUAGUUCUCAUAAUAAUGAUAAUUAACAUAACCUUUCUUUGAACAUAAAAUCCAAGGCUAGCUGUGAAUUUCUCUCUUGUUAAUGAGCUCUAAGCAGAACUUCAGCACCAAAAGUUCCUUUAACGUAAUUGAAUAUUUUUCAAAUGGAACAGUUUAAAUCUGCAAUUUUAGUUUUGUGAUUGGAUGCUAAUAGUUGGUGUAGUAGACAUUAUUUCCGCUUUUGAAACUAAAAUUUCAGCUCCUAGUCCCUUUUUUUUUUCUUUUGAUUAUUGCUCCAUUUACUUGAUUGCUGCAGGCUUUCUACUGACGCAGUUUGUUGAGGAUUUUCAGUAAUUGCAUGACCCAAGAGCCUCCUUGUGGUUCAGCUUUGGCAGUGGAGUUCUUGAUGCAGAUGCUGAAGUAAAAUGUUAUGAUUUAAAGACAUUACUAUGAAUUUACUAAACUUUAAGGGCUAAACUCUACUAUGAUUUUUUUUUUUUCAAAAUCUAUUGAUCAGUUAAUACGGCUAAGUACAAAUUUGUUAUCUUUUAGUCCUUUGCGAGUAAAAUGCCAAUUGGCAUGGUUGCCUGGUUUGUUCUUUAAACUCUGACCUGACAAUUUUUUGCUUUGUUGUUGGUGAUGGCGUUACACGAUUGCUAGUGCAUGCUCUUUUGUUGAAGAAAUGCUUCUUUCUAGUUCAUUUGAUUGAUGUUAAUCUGACUGUUCAACGUGCCUGCAUGUUGUGUUAUUGCUAACCCUGUUCAAGUCACCGCCAGUUGACCUGCUUGUUGCUAUGGAAGAUUUGUCAUAAUAAAGUGCUUAAUAAACACAUCAGCUAUGGUGGAUCAGUAGGCUAGGAAGGAAGCAAUGUAAUGCCUAUGGAUAGGUCAAAUUGUGCGUUACCAGAGUGUGGAGCUUAGAAAGAUGAAUUCUUGCAAGACAUGGAAGUUCAAAGUGUGCUCAGGGCUGAGCUGUUCGACUCAUUGUAAAUAAGACAAGCAAAUAUUGGGUAGGUGCUCCAUGGUUCCUGUGUCAUAUGAGAUCCACGUGUAUGUGGGGGGGACGUAACAUUGGUCGGCCUUCGCGUCCUCAAAGAUUCCUCUACGGGCAGGCCAAUUCUUUUUCAGAAUGGUCAUUUUCGCUUCCAGAUUGUGCCAGAAAUGAAAUGGAAUAAUCAAGAAAAUCAGUAGGAGACCCACCAAAAGUUUGGCAUUUGGCAAACCUUUUCUGCCAUGGGCAACACAUUUUGUCAAGAAAAGGAAGAAUUAAAACGUGUAGAAAAUGGGAAGCUCUUAAAAAGUUGGAGAUGCCAAAACCCAUUUGAAAUUUGACCUUCGCAUUUUUUCAUGGAAGUGGGAAGUGGAAUGCAUUUGCUGGAUGAAUCUAGUGGAGUUUUGGGCAUGAGGUUGAAUUUAUUAUUGGAUGGAAAAUUGGCUUAAUUUGAUUGACUACUCCCUGCCCAUUUGUUUAUGUUUGAUGGAGCUCCACCAUCCUUUACCCUUAAAAGAUCUUAAUUAUAGGGAUGUUAGCCUAUCAGAAACAGUAAAUUUAUUACAAUGUUUCCAUUGUGAAAGCAUAUUCCAAGGCAAUGUACCAUUUUUUUUUCUCUGGAAGGCCAAAGCUAAUAUGCUUGUACCGAACAAAUAUAUCUUUUUUCUUCAAGGAACAA
rnacentral:misc_RNA from 1 species